rnacentral:rRNA from 1 species
AUCAGCAGCUGCACCACCUGCUGCUCAGAGCAGGUCAUCCACCUGAAGCUAAACAGGUUUGGGCCUGGCCAGUACAUAGAUGGGAGACCAACUAGGAAAGCUGGGUUACUGCUGCAA